UAGAGUGGGAGUGUUGUCAGGAGCAGGUCUCUGUACACUUGUUUGCCUUCCUGCUCAUUGGGUGGGACCGUUUUCAAGCACUGAAAAUCCACUCUGGAAUAUCCCUUGUGAUUUAUGAUUGGAGAGAACCUCUUAUCUCCAGAUGUACACCAGGCCUGGGUCACCCCUAACAGAAGAUACCCUAAAACUGAGGAAAACAGGAAAUUUUGGGAGUAAGUGAAAUGAGGAUGCCUUGGUGCCCACCUCUGCUGGCCUCCCACUGUGGGAACACCAGUCUUGUAUCCUGGGAAUUCUGUGGGCAGCUUCUGAAGCCAGUCUCCAUGGGAAGAAAACCUCCAGAGUGUGGAAGAUCUUGUGUUUGAAUCCUGAGCUCGUGAUCCCUGAGAUCCCUGAGAUGAGCUGGAGAUGGCUCCAUGCUAAGGGUGGGCCUGCAUUUGAUGGGAGCCCUGCAAGCUGCUGCAGGCUACCCCUGAUUGGAAUUCCCUUGGAUUGGCCUAAUUGCAGGCUCUGCCAUCAUCUGUUUGCAAUCACAAAGAGGAAGCUUCUGAAGCUUGGGAAUGAGAGAAAAUGAAGUGUCCUGACACAACUUCAAAACAUCCAGAAUGCUCUUGGAGGUUUUCCCACCGCUGUUUCUGUCAGAUCUCCUCUGAAAACGGUCUCACUGAAGGGAGGUUCAGAUCAGCAACACGGACCAGAAGAAUGUCCAGAGAUCAGAACAGCAGUAGCAGUUGGCUUUGAGGAUGAAUUCCAGCCACAAUCCCGUCCCAUGGCUGAUCCAGGAUGCUUGGGAAGCAGGCACAUGGUGGCCUCCAUGGAUGGCAACCAGCAGCAAACCCACAGCUGGACCUGCAGGGAUCCAGCACAACAACAAAAUCCGAAGAUCAGUUUUGACAGAGUAAAAUACUACAAAUUACACUGUCAGAUGACCUCAUCACCCAGGGCUGGCACGCUGGAUUGCAACACUGCUGGAAGGAAAAGCAGGAGCACUACAGGAAUCUCUGCUCCAUGGAAAAGUGUUAUUUUUGGAUCCUCCGGGAAGGCGUGCCCAGAAAACCAGCGGCUCCCUGGUAUCAUCACCAAGUUUCUGCUCCUGGCAGCGCUCCAUCCUCUCCUUCUCAUCCCACGUUACUCCAGGACAGCCUGAUGGGUCAUGGGAAGCUGUUUCCAGCCAGCAGGCAGGAGCCCACUGGAGGAGGACAGUGCUGGAUGGACCAUCAAUCCCUUGGCCAGAGCAGUUUGGAACCCAAUGGCAGAGGCAGCAGGUCCCUUACAGGUUUGACAUGAUUUUUGACAUUUUUAACCAGGCAAACCACAGGUUUCCUCAAACUCACCCAAAAAU